rnacentral:rRNA from 1 species
AUUGAACGCUUGCGGCAGGCCUCACACAUGCAAGUCGAGCGAGCGGCGGACGGGUGAGUAAUGUCUGGGAAACUGCCUGAUGGAGGGGGAUAACUACUGGAAACGGUAGCUAAUACCGCAUACCAUCAGAUGUGCCCAGAUGGGAUUCGCUAGUAGGUGGGGUAACGGCUCACCUAGGCGACGAUCCCUAGCUGGUCUGAGAGGAUGACCCGCCACACUGGACCUGAGACACGGUCCAGACUCCUACGGGAGGCAGCGGUGGGGAAUAUUGCACAAUGGGCGCAAGCCUGAUGCAGCCAUGCCGCGUGUAUGAAGAAGGCCGUCGGGUUGUAAAGUACUUUCAGCGGGGAGGCGUUACCCGCAGAAGAAGCACCGGCUAACUCCGUGCCAGCCGCCGCGGUAAUAC